rnacentral:rRNA from 1 species
GACGAACGCUGGCGGCGUGCUUAACACAUGCAAGUCGAACGGUAAGGCUCCAGCUUGCUGGGGUACACGAGUGGCGAACGGGUGAGUAACACGUGGGUGACCUGCCCUGCACUUCGGGAUAAGCCUGGGAAACUGGGUCUAAUACCGGAUAGGACCGCACCGUGAGGGUGUGGUGGAAAGUUUUUUCGGUGUGGGAUGGGCCCGCGGCCUAUCAGCUUGUUGGUGGGGUAAUGGCCUACCAAGGCGGCGACGGGUAGCCGGCCUGAGAGGGUGGACGGCCACAUUGGGACUGAGACACGGCCCAGACUCCUACGGGAGGCAGCAGUGGGGAAUAUUGCACAAUGGGCGGAAGCCUGAUGCAGCGACGCCGCGUGGGGGAUGACGGCCUUCGGGUUGUAAACUCCUUUCACCAUCGACGAAGGGUUUCUGACGGUAGAUGGAGAAGAAGCACCGGCUAACUACGUGCCAGCAGCCGCGGUAAUACGUAGGGUGCGAGCGUUGUCCGGAAUUACUGGGCGUAAAGAGCUCGUAGGUGGUUUGUCGCGUCGUCUGUGAAAUUCCGGGGCUUAACUCCGGGCGUGCAGGCGAUACGGGCAUAACUUGAGUACUGUAGGGGAGACUGGAAUUCCUGGUGUAGCGGUGAAAUGCGCAGAUAUCAGGAGGAACACCGGUGGCGAAGGCGGGUCUCUGGGCAGUAACUGACGCUGAGGAGCGAAAGCAUGGGGAGCGAACAGGAUUAGAUACCCUGGUAGUCCAUGCCGUAAACGGUGGGCGCUAGGUGUGGGUUUCCUUCCACGGGAUCCGUGCCGUAGCUAACGCAUUAAGCGCCCCGCCUGGGGAGUACGGCCGCAAGGCUAAAACUCAAAGAAAUUGACGGGGGCCCGCACAAGCGGCGGAGCAUGUGGAUUAAUUCGAUGCAACGCGAAGAACCUUACCUGGGCUUGACAUAUAGAGGAUCGCUGCAGAGAUGUGGUUUCCCUUGUGGCUUCUAUACAGGUGGUGCAUGGUUGUCGUCAGCUCGUGUCGUGAGAUGUUGGGUUAAGUCCCGCAACGAGCGCAACCCUUGUCUUAUGUUGCCAGCACGUUAUGGUGGGGACUCGUGAGAGACUGCCGGGGUCAACUCGGAGGAAGGUGGGGAUGACGUCAAAUCAUCAUGCCCCUUAUGUCCAGGGCUUCACACAUGCUACAAUGGCCGGUACAGAGGGCUGCGAUGCUGUAAAGCGGAGCGAAUCUCUUAAAGCCGGUCUCAGUUCGGAUUGGGGUCUGCAACUCGACCCCAUGAAGUCGGAGUCGCUAGUAAUCGCAGAUCAGCAACGCUGCGGUGAAUACGUUCCCGGGCCU